UACGUAGGGCGCAAGCGUUGUCCGGAAUUAUUGGGCGUAAAGAGCUCGUAGGCGGUCUGUCGCGUCUGUUGUGAAAACUCGAGGCUCAACCCCCGAACUUGCAGUGGGGUACGGGCAGACUAGAGUGUGGUAGGGGAGACUGGAAUUCCUGGUGUAGCGGUGGAAUGCGCAGAUAUCAGGAGGAACACCGGUGGCGAAGGCGGGGUCUCUGGGCAGUAACUGACGCUGAGGAGCGAAAGCGUGGGGAGCGAACAGG
rnacentral:rRNA from 1 species